rnacentral:rRNA from 1 species
UUGAACGCUGGCGGCAUGCCUUACACAUGCAAGUCGAACGGCAGCAUGAUCUAGCUUGCUAGAUUGAUGGCGAGUGGCGAACGGGUGAGUAAUACAUCGGAACGUGCCCUGUAGUGGGGGAUAACUAGUCGAAAGAUUAGCUAAUACCGCAUACGACCUGAGGGUGAAAGUGGGGGACCGCAAGGCCUCAUGCUAUAGGAGCGGCCGAUGUCUGAUUAGCUAGUUGGUGAGGUAAAGGCUCACCAAGGCGACGAUCAGUAGCUAGUCUGAGAGGACGAUCAGCCACACUGGGACUGAGACACGGCCCAGACUCCUACGGGAGGCAGCAGUGGGGAAUUUUGGACAAUGGGCGAAAGCCUGAUCCAGCAAUGCCGCGUGUGUGAAGAAGGCCUUCGGGUUGUAAAGCACUUUUGUCCGGAAAGAAAUGGCUCUGGUUAAUACCUGGGGUCGAUGACGGUACCGGAAGAAUAAGGACCGGCUAACUACGUG